CAAUAGCGUAUAUUAAAGUUGUUGCAGUUAAAAAGCUCGUAGUUGGAUUUCUGGUGAGAUGGAUUAUGUCUAGGUCGAAAGAUCUUGUUCAUGGUUCGUUUUGCCCUUCUUGUCAGGAACCCGCUGAGAUUCGCGUCUUGUCGGUGGAAUGGCAUCGUUUACUGUGAAAAAAUUAGAGUGUUCAAAGCAGGCAUCGCCGUUGAAUACAUUAGCAUGGAAUAAUAAGAUAAGACUUUGGUGGUCUAUUUUGUUGGUUUGCACGCCAAAGUAAUGAUUAAUAGGGAUAGUUGGGGGCAUUCGUAUUCUAUUGCUAGAGGUGAAAUUCUUAAAUUUAUGGAAGACGAACUACUGCGAAAGCAUUUACCAAGGAUGUUUUCAUUAA
rnacentral:rRNA from 1 species